AGAGUUUGAUCAUGGCUCAGAUUGAACGCUGGCGGCAUGUCUUACACAUGCAAGUCGAACGGUAACAGGUCUUCGGACGCUGACGAGUGGCGAACGGGUGAGUAAUACAUCGGAACGUGCCCAGUCGUGGGGGAUAACUACUCGAAAGAGUAGCUAAUACCGCAUACGAUCUGAGGAUGAAAGCGGGGGACCUUCGGGCCUCGCGCGAUUGGAGCGGCCGAUGGCAGAUUAGGUAGUUGGUGGGAUAAAAGCUUACCAAGCCGACGAUCUGUAGCUGGUCUGAGAGGACGACCAGCCACACUGGGACUGAGACACGGCCCAGACUCCUACGGGAGGCAGCAGUGGGGAAUUUUGGACAAUGGGCGAAAGCCUGAUCCAGCAACGCCGCGUGCAGGAUGAAGGCCUUCGGGUUGUAAACUGCUUUUGUACGGAACGAAAAAGCUUCUCCUAAUACGAGAGGCCCAUGACGGUACCGUAAGAAUAAGCACCGGCUAACUACGUGCCAGCAGCCGCGGUAAUACGUAGGGUGCGAGCGUUAAUCGGAAUUACUGGGCGUAAAGCGUGCGCAGGCGGUUAUGUAAGACAGAUGUGAAAUCCCCGGGCUCAACCCUGCGAACUGCAUUUUGUGACUGCUUGGCUAGAGUACGGUAGAGGGGGGAUGGAAUUCCCGCGU
rnacentral:rRNA from 1 species